CCUACGGGAGGCAGCAGUGGGGAAUUUUGGACAAUGGGGGAAACCCUGAUCCAGCAAUGCCGCGUGUGUGAAGAAGGCCUUCGGGUUGUAAAGCACUUUUGUCCGGAAAGAAAAUCUUCGAGCUAAUACCUUGAGGGGAUGACGGUACCGGAAGAAUAAGCACCGGCUAACUACGUGCCAGCAGCCGCGGUAAUACGUAGGGUGCGAGCGUUAAUCGGAAUUACUGGGCGUAAAGCGUGCGCAGGCGGUUUGUUAAGACAGAUGUGAAAUCCCCGGGCUUAACCUGGGAACUGCAUUUGUGACUGGCAAGCUAGAGUAUGGCAGAGGGGGGUAGAAUUCCACGUGUAGCAGUGAAAUGCGUAGAGAUGUGGAGGAAUACCGAUGGCGAAGGCAGCCCCCUGGGCCAAUACUGACGCUCAUGCACGAAAGCGUGGGGAGCAAACAGGAUUAGAUACCCUGGUAGUCCACGCCCUAAACGAUGUCAACUAGUUGUUGGGGAUUCCAUUCUUACGUACGUAGUCUACGCGUGAGUGUACCGCCGUGGGAGGUACGGUCGCGAGAGUAAACGUAACGUAAGAAGUUAGAGUCGUUGAGAGNGCGAGGCGACGACGAGGAGAGG
rnacentral:rRNA from 1 species